GCGGUSUGACGGGAGCUUGCUCCUUGAUUCAGCGGCGGACGGGUGAGUAAUGCCUAGGAAUCUGCCUGGUAGUGGGGGACAACGUUUCGAAAGGAACGCUAAUACCGCAUACGUCCUACGGGAGAAAGCAGGGGACCUUCGGGCCUUGCGCUAUCAGAUGAGCCUAGGUCGGAUUAGCUAGUAGGUGAGGUAAUGGCUCACCUAGGCGACGAUCCGUAACUGGUCUGAGAGGAUGAUCAGUCACACUGGAACUGAGACACGGUCCAGACUCCUACGGGAGGCAGCAGUGGGGAAUAUUGGACAAUGGGCGAAAGCCUGAUCCAGCCAUGCCGCGUGUGUGAAGAAGGUCUUCGGAUUGUAAAGCACUUUAAGUUGGGAGGAAGGGCAGUAAGUUAAUACCUUGCUGUUUUGACGUUACCGACAGAAUAAGCACCGGCUAACUCUGUGCCAGCAGCCGCGGUAAUACAGAGGGUGCAAGCGUUAAUCGGAAUUACUGGGCGUAAAGCGCGCGUAGGUGGUUCGUUAAGUUGGAUGUGAAAGCCCCGGGCUCAACCUGGGAACUGCAUCCAAAACUGGCGAGCUAGAGUAUGGUAGAGGGUGGUGGAAUUUCCUGUGUAGCGGUGAAAUGCGUAGAUAUAGGAAGGGAACACCAGUGGCGAAGGCGACCACCUGGACUGAUACUGACACUGAGGUGCGCAAAGCGUGGGGGAGCAAACAGGAUUAGAUACCCCUGGUACUCCACGGCCGUUAACCGAUGU
rnacentral:rRNA from 1 species